CAUGGAGACCUCCAACACCGCUCUCCACUACGUGCCUCUUCUCCUGCUUAAGAACCUGGACGUCUUAGACGAGCUGGGCUUAUGGUGAAUGUGAUUGGGGACAGUCAAGGGUCUCUGAGGCCAUGCUGGAAGGUUGUUGGGUGAUGAACGAAGACAUCUGUCCUGAUCAGUCUGAAAAAUAAAAAAUCCACCUCUGUAAGGAUUUGUAACUUAUAAUGAAGUUUUGCUGCCAACAGAGCUCUUUGAAAUUGACAAGGACACUACUGUGUACACCAUCCUGAGCUCUGUCCUCCACGACCCAUACCACUUUGAGAAGCCAGAUGCUUUCCAUUCUGGCCACUUCCUGGAUUUGGAGGGCAACUUCAGGAAGCAAGAAGCCUUCAUCCUAUUCUCCAUGGCUCUGCUUCCUGCCCCACUGGGGAGGGGGAGAAGGGAUGAAGAUCCCCUCAGAGUCCUUGCAUCCAGCCCUCGUCUCUGCCCACAAAGAAUCUGUGGAGGUCUCCUGACUCCUCCCUGUUCAUUCUACCCUGUGGUUGUCCUGAAGAGGUUAAACCUUCACAAUGUUCCAUAACAUUCCGAAGUCAUGUGCCACUCCAAAAGCAUAAUGGCUGAGGUAUACAUAUCUGCGAACUGGUCUUCAGCCAACUGACAACCUCAAGUUAAAGUAAUUCAUUGUGGUUGUUGUGCUGAUUUUAUUUCUGGUAAAUAAGUACUCUCAAUUGUGCCCACUGAAGAAAUUUCUGCAUAUCCAGCUUGGUAAUGUCCUUCCUCAUCCUUUAAGUAAGACCUGUCUUUAAACCAACUUAAAUCAGCAUUCUCAGUAGGAAUUUCUUGUGAGUCAUUGCUAAGAGCAAGAAGGUAAUCUGUUAUUAAAAUACAGUCGUGGUCAA
rnacentral:lncRNA from 1 species